rnacentral:rRNA from 1 species
AUUGAACGCUGGCGGCAUGCCUUACACAUGCAAGUCGAACGGCAGCACGGGAGCAAUCCUGGUGGCGAGUGGCGAACGGGUGAGUAAUAUAUCGGAACGUGCCCAGUCGUGGGGGAUAACGUAGCGAAAGCUACGCUAAUACCGCAUACGAUCUAUGGAUGAAAGCGGGGGAUCGCAAGACCUCGCGCGAUUGGAGCGGCCGAUAUCAGAUUAGGUAGUUGGUGAGGUAAAGGCUCACCAAGCCGACGAUCUGUAGCUGGUCUGAGAGGACGACCAGCCACACUGGGACUGAGACACGGCCCAGACUCCUACGGGAGGCAGCAGUGGGGAAUUUUGGACAAUGGGCGCAAGCCUGAUCCAGCAAUGCCGCGUGCAGGAUGAAGGCCUUCGGGUUGUAAACUGCUUUUGUACGGAACGAAACGGUGAGCUCUAAUACAGUUUGCUAAUGACGGUACCGUAAGAAUAAGCACCGGCUAACUACAUG